GAUGAACGCUGGCGGCGUGCUUAACACAUGCAAGUCGAACGAGGUCCAACCUUCGGGUGAAGACCUAGUGGCGAACGGGUGAGUAACACGUGGGGAACCUGCCCUUCUCUCUGGGAUAACGUCGAGAAAUCGGUGCUAAUACCGGAUACUCCUUGCGGAUCGCAUGGUCUGCUCGGGAAAGCUCCGGCGGAGAUGGAUGGCCCCGCGGCCCAUUAGCUAGUUGGUGAGGUAACGGCCCACCAAGGCGACGAUGGGUAGCCGAGCUGAGAGGCUGAUCGGCCACACUGGGACUGAGACACGGCCCAGACUCCUACGGGAGGCAGCAGUGGGGAAUUUUGCACAAUGGGCGCAAGCCUGAUGCAGCAACGCCGCGUGCGGGAUGAAGGCCCUCGGGUUGUAAACCGCUUUCAGCAGGGACGAAACUGACGGUACCUGCAGAAGAAGCCCCGGCUAACUACGUGCCAGCAGCCGCCGUAACAC
rnacentral:rRNA from 1 species